AUCUGUGGCCAUACCACCCUGAACGCGCCCCAUCCCGUCUGACCUCGGAAGCUAAGCAGGGUCGGGCCCGGUUAGCAUCUUGGAUGGGAGACCGCCUGGGAUCCUGGGCCUACCGGGG
rnacentral:rRNA from 1 species